rnacentral:rRNA from 1 species
UACGAAGGGGGCUAGCGUUGCUCGGAAUCACUGGGCGUAAAGCGCACGUAGGCGGCUUUCUAAGUCAGGGGUGAAAUCCUGGAGCUCAACUCCAGAACUGCCUUUGAUACUGGGGAGCUCGAGUCCGGAAGAGGUGAGUGGAACUCCGAGUGUAGAGGUGAAAUGCUUAGAUAUCGGAAGGAACACCAGUGGCGAAGGCGGCUUACUGGGCCAAUACUGACGCUGAGGUACGAAAGCGUGGGGAGCAAACAGG